GAAAGAUCGUAUAUAAUAAAAAAAUGAAGAGACGUACACUGAAAAAGUGCUGGAACGUUGUAAGUGUGACUGAGAGUCUCCUUAACAGAGUAUAAGACCGUCAUGACUUGCACUGUCAGUUAUAUAACUGGUUGUUCUUGUUGAAGGAUAAAAACAAACACGUAUAUGAGAUCCCUAACGUUAUUUAUGGCUGUGCUCUUUGCCAUUGGCACCAUAAGCUCCGUUGAACCAGCCCAUUACUUCUUUGGAUUCAGGAUACCUACUAUGAGUUCGUUUAGUCCUGCAACCAGAAACAGACUUAGGAAAAUAAUAGCAUUGCUAAAGCCACACAAGGAUGACCGGUACUGGCAUGACUUUGAUCUUGAUGGCUACUCCAGGAAUGGAAGGGAUAUCCACAAAAUGGAGACUGAAGUGGAUGACAAAAUGGUUAUGUAAGCUCAUCAAGUCAAAAAGUUCAGACUUGGAUUAGGCGAUUAACAGGUAGUAUUCAUAUCAGUUAACCAGUUGUAACACAUCACAACUACCCAACCGCUUCAUUGUUGUCAUAAAAAAUUAAAUUACAAAGCUAUGAUCUCUUAGCAUCAGUUACUGCAUAACUUGAUAAAUGAAAAUGCUAAAUUGAUGCACCAUUGGGACAGUGAGAUGACAAAAGCUGUGUGGUUACCAGACAGUUCUUGGUGCUGUCUAGGUAUGGGUACAGGGCAAAUAUGUCUCUGCUUAUGUAUAUUUAUAUUUCAUUUGUAUUUAUUUUCAUUGUUUUUGUCUGCAUUUUCGAGAUUAUUUUCCUAACGUGUCAGCACCUUUCUCAUUUGUCAUAAGUACAAUGGUCAACACUUACUUUUCAGCUACUUGUAGCCCUAUUCUUUCAUUUCCUCAUGUAAACUCACAGCAGCCUAUUACAUACGAAAAUCCCUGUAUGUUUGUUUGUUUGUAUGGUGUUUUUACGUUGCAUGGAACCAGUGGUUAUUCAGCAACGGGACCAACGGCUUUACGUGACUUCCGAACCACGUCGAGUGUGAACUUCUAUCACCAGAAAUACACAUCUCUCACUCCUCAAUGGAAUGGCCGAGAAUCGAACCCGCGACCACUGAGGUGAGAAGCAAACACCAAACCAACCACGCCACACUGAGGCGCUAAAAUCCCUGUAUGGGGUUAGUGCCAGCAUCACUUUGUAGAUUACUAAAAGGGUGUUUGCAGCAUCCCAUUGGCUCUUGUCUGUAACCUCAAAACUCUUAGCCUUUUGCUUAAUUCCAUUUUCGUUUCCUUUCUUCAGUCUUACUGUCCAACACCUCCAACUGUUACUUCUUAGUGCAGUUAUGGGUUUCUUCCUAAUUCCACAUUU